CCACCAAUAAUAAGUUUUAUUACUUAUUUCCUUAAUAUAGUUUGCAAAAACCCUCAGAGACUACAUGCCAAACCCCCUCCUCAGAUUUUUUGAAAAAAUCUGAGGAGGGGUGAAGAUAUAGUCCGAACUGCAUAGCGAUAUGCAG
rnacentral:autocatalytically_spliced_intron from 1 species